GGUGGACCUUCCAAAACCUGGCAUCCCCUGACCUAAUUCUUGCUCACUGUCAAGCAUAAAAUCUCUAUUACCCUGCCCCGAACCAUAUGUGGAGCCAAAUUCUCCUACAGCCACAUUAGAAUGUGCGGGCACUCCUUUAGACAUUUCAGGAUCGCAUUUUGAAUCGUGACUUGUAUUUGGUAGUGAAUCGGCUGCGGAGAAAUCAAGAGCGCCAUCUGGAACGGAGAUUUUGGAUCCUUUGGGAGGCCCAGUAUCAGAUGCAUUGUCCUCUUCCUUGUUAUGAACUUGGUCAACCUUGGGGAACCUGUAUGUUAAUGCAGAGCGUGUUUUGGUUGGAACCUUUACAAAUUUGCAGAAUGCUAGCAAAUCAGAUCCAUGCCUACUAGAAAGAGCACCCUCCACUGCACAGGGCUGGAUAGUUAAGGCCUCAGGAAUAGUUUUUUUCUCAGUUUCAUGACUAUGAUUGUAGUCUUUCAUCUCCUCAUUCCCAGAAUUCAAGUUUGUCAAAUCAUCAGACACCUUAGAAGGCUCUCCAUCAGUCUCAUCUUUCUCAAUGCUAAAAGAACUUGCCUUGGGAUACAUUUCAUCUGCAUUGUUGUACUCUGCUACUAAUUCCAUAUCAGUUGCUUCCUCAUUUUCUGGGGCUGAUCCACUCAGACCAAACGUUUCAUCACCCACUUGAAGCUCUUCAUAAUUUCCAGAAAUAGAGUGAUCACCCCCCUCCAUAUCAACAGACAUCCGAUUUCUAUCUGACCACGACCCACUCCUCCCAUAUUCUCUGCCCCACUCUGAACUAUAACUGCGAUGAUAAUACUCUCCUUUCCUCCUACCUCUUACAUGGCUCCUCGAAUUGAAGUCAUCAGAAUACCUUCUCCUACCUGCUCCAGCAUCAGAACCAACACUUCCUAGUCGGGAAUGGGCAGAUGUUCUGCCCUCCUGUGUAAGGUCCUCUUGUAGCCUAAAGUCCUGGUAAUCUCCAGCUUGCUUCCUCAAACUACCAUUCUGCCACCUACCAGAAAGUGCAUUUCGAGGUAACAAUCCCUUGGAAACCAAAUACUCAGCUGCAAGUCUGCCAGCUUCCAUCAAAAUGUCCCCUUUGCGUGGUGGUGGCUGUGGUGGUUGUUGAAAAGACUUGGGCUGGCCCUGGCCACGGCCAAAACCACGGUUAUUGAAGCUUCGGUAUUCAGAAUUGUAAAACCCAUGGCCUCUAGCUGAACUAUCUGGGGAUACCCUCGAGGCACCCAAACCAAUUCCCAUCGAACUAGACCUGUAACCAUCUCCAGGACUUCGGUGCCUAGGAUGCAUCUUUCUGUUCCUGACUGUUCUCAAACACUAUUAAAUACAACAAACAAUCAACUGAAAGACACGGACAGCAACUGAAAGUAGCAGGUGCUUUUAGCUCCCAAAAAAUUCAGGACCAGCAACACAGAAAUAAGAAACUUCAAUCCUCAAAUUAAGCAAGUAACGUCUUCAAGGUAUCCACCAAAAACUAAUAUGGUUUCUAUCUGGUUACAGACAAGCAAAUUAACGCAGCAAUAAAUUGCGGACCAAAAAUGGCAGCUACCGGGUGCUUAACAAUCAAUACAGGUAGUAAUCUAAUUCCUUGCACUAGUCAAAAUCAACCAAAUCCAAGAGUGAAAAUCCAAGAAAUGAGAUAGAUAGAAAUCAAGCUGUCUUGGUCCAAAGACGGUAAAAAUCUGACCUUUACUUCCUUUUCCGUUUUUGGGUAAUUACCUGAGGCAGUGUCUAUUUGUUUUUGAUGACUGUCAACAAGAAAGAAAGACGAUCCAACUCUGGUCUUUUUAGGGUUUGAGAUCACAGUAGGCCAGAUUUAUGGCCACCCCACCGACCCAACUCAACACCUCCUCAUCCACACCUCCUCCCAAAAUUUUCCAAUUGGAAAUUUCUUAAAAUUUUUCACAAUAAAGGAAAUAGCUUUAGGUCAAAAAUAUCAGGCAGCAAUGAGAAAGUCCGAUGCUUUCUGCAGCCAACCAUUCGAUUGGUACUAAAAAUUAUCAAACCAUCCAUUCAUCGACCUGGAAAUGCCUGCUUGGCCUUAAAAUAAGAUGACUCGUGGCUUCUGUCAACAGAAAAAAGUACCACUUUUUCCUUUGGGUAACAGCAAGAAGAAAACAACAACUCAAAAGCACACAGAAAAAAGAGAGCUUCACUGCGCCAAGCCAACACAGGCCACGCGAAUCCCCCUCCUUCCACAGUUGGAUAAGAACAAGAACAAUU
rnacentral:misc_RNA from 1 species